rnacentral:rRNA from 1 species
UGGGAACGCGAAGAACCUUACCUAGACUUGACAUCUCCUGAAUUACCUUUAAUCGGGGAAGCCCUUCGGGGCAGGAAGACAGGUGGUGCAUGGUUGUCGUCAGCUCGUGUCGUGAGAUGUUGGGUUAAGUCCCGCAACGAGCGCAACCCUUAUUGUUAGUUGCUACCAUUUAGUUGAGCACUCUAGCGAGACUGCCCGGGUUAACCGGGAGGAAGGUGGGGAUGACGUCAAAUCAUCAUGCCCCUUAUGUCUAGGGCUACACACGUGCUACAAUGGUCGGUACAAUGAGAUGCAACCUCGCGAGAGUGAGCAAAACUAUAAAACCGAUCUCAGUUCGGAUUGUAGGCUGAAACUCGCCUACAUGAAGCUGGAGUUGCUAGUAAUCGCGAAUCAGAAUGUCGCGGUGAAUACGUUCCCGGGUC